UACAGAGGGUGCAAGCGUUAAUCGGAAUGACUGGGCGUAAAGGGCACGUAGGCGGCUAAGAGGGUUAAAGGUGAAAUCCCCGGGCUUAACCUGGGAACUGCCUGUAAAACUACUUAGCUAGAAUGUAACAGAGGUAAGUGGAAUUUCCGGUGUAGCGGUGAAAUGCGUAGAUAUCGGAAAGAACACCAGUGGCGAAGGCGACUUACUGGGUUACAAUUGACGCUGAGGUGCGAAAGCGUGGGGAGCAAACAGG
rnacentral:rRNA from 1 species